AAGUCUGACGGAGCAACGCCGCGUGAGCGAAGAAGGCCUUCGGGUCGUAAAGCUCUGUUGUCAGGGAACACCAAGUACCGGAGUAACUGCCGGUACCUUGACGGUACCUGACCAGAAAGCCACGGCUAACUACGUGCCAGCAGCCGCGGUAAUACGUAGGUGGCAAGCGUUGUCCGGAAUUAUUGGGCGUAAAGCGCGCGCAGGCGGUCCUUUAAGUCUGAUGUGAAAGCCCACGGCUCAACCGUGGAGGGUCAUUGGAAACUGGGGGACUUGAGUGCAGAAGAGGAGAGCGGAAUUCCACGUGUAGCGGUGAAAUGCGUAGAGAUGUGGAGGAACACCAGUGGCGAAGGCGGCUCUCUGGUCUGUAACUGACGCUGAGGCGCGAAAUUGUGGGGAGCGAACAGGAUUAGAUACCCUGGUAGUCCACGCCGUAAACGAGGAGUGCUAAGUGUUAGAGGGUUUCCGCCCUUUAGUGCUGCAGCAAACGCAUUAAGCACUCCGCCUGGG
rnacentral:rRNA from 2 species